rnacentral:rRNA from 1 species
UACGUAGGGCGCGAGCGUUGUCCGGAUUUAUUGGGCGUAAAGAGCUCGUAGGCGGCUUGUCGCGUCGGCUGUGAAAACUCGGGGCUCAACUCCGAGCUUGCAGUCGAUACGGGCAGGCUAGAGUUCGGUAGGGGAGACUGGAAUUCCUGGUGUAGCGGUGAAAUGCGCAGAUAUCAGGAGGAACACCGGUGGCGAAGGCAGGUCUCUGGGCCGAUACUGACGCUGAGGAGCGAAAGCGUGGGGAGCGAACAGG